rnacentral:rRNA from 1 species
CCCCUGGAAACGGGGGCUAAUACCGGAUAGGUCGAAAGAUGAAAGGUUAACUGCCUGAAGAGGGGCUCGCGUCUGAUUAGCUAGUAGGUGUGGUAAGAGCGCACCUAGGCAACGAUCAGUAGCUGGUCUGAGAGGAUGAGCAGCCACACUGGGACUGAGACACGGCCCACACUCCUACGGGAGGCAGCAGUGGGGAAUUUUCCGCAGUGGGCGAAAGCCUGACGGAGCAAGACCGCGGGGGGGAGGAAGGCCUUUGGGUUGUAAACCCCUUUUGUUAGGGAAAAAAAAAAUGACGGUACCUAACGAAUCACCCUCGGCUAACUCCGUGCCAGCAGCCGCGGUAAUACGGAGGAGGCAAGCGUUAUCCGGAAUUAUUGGGCGUAAAGCGUCCGUAGGUGGCCCGGCAAGUCUGCUGUCAAAGACCACAGCUCAACUGUGGAAAGGGCAGUGAAAACUGCAAGGCUAGAGUGCGGUAGGGGUAGAGGGAAUUCCCAGUGUAGCGGUGAAAUGCGUAAAGAUUGGAAAAACACCCCGGUGGCGAAUGCGCUCUACUGGGCCGCAACU